UUUGCUGGUUCAGAUGGUCUUC
rnacentral:siRNA from 1 species